rnacentral:rRNA from 1 species
AGCGAACGCUGGCGGCAUGCUUAACACAUGCAAGUCGCGCGGGUGGUUUCGGCCAUCAGCGGCGGACGGGUGAGUAUCGCGUAGGAAUGUAUCCCGAGGUGGGGGACAACCCUGGGAAACUGGGGCUAAUACCGCAUGGGGCCUGUGGGUCAAAGCCUUAGGGCGCCUUGGGAGCAGCCUGCGUCCGAUUAGGUAGUUGGUGGGGUAAAGGCCUACCAAGCCUGCGAUCGGUAGCUGGUCUGAGAGGACGAUCAGCCACACUGGGACUGAGACACGGCCCCGACUCCUACGGGAGGCAGCAGUGGGGAAUAUUGGACCAUGGGCGCAAGCCUGAUCCAGCAAUGCCGCGUGGGUGAAGAAGGUCUUCGGAUUGUAAAGCCCUUUCGGCGGGGACGAUGAUGACGGUACCCGCAGAAGAAGCCCCGGCUAACUUCGUG